rnacentral:lncRNA from 1 species
GUUUGUUUAAAAGCUCAACAUCUAUUCUGGAAGAGAACAACGCAGACUCCAGGAAGAUGGAGAAAAGGCAUUUGCUGCCCAAGGUAGAAUCCCAUCACCAUACUCCUUUCCUACAUCCAAUCACAAAAUCAGAAUAUGCCAAUUCUCUAUUCCCAAGCGUGUCAUUUUGGAAUGUGUCUUGCUGCUCUUCUCAUCAAAGGUAAAGUCCUCUUCUUCACCUUUUAACCUAGAGUAGCUGUGCAACUUUCUUUGACCAAUCAAAUAUGGUGGAAGUGAUGUUGCGUGACUUCCAGAUAUAAGUCUUAAAGAGAUUUUUCACUUUCUGCUUUCACUCUCUUGGAAUGUUGCCCUGAGAUCACCACACCAUGAAGAAGUCUGGGGCGAAAGGCCAUGUGGAGUGAGAGGCUCAGCUUCCCAGAUGAUCUCACUGAGCACAGCCCCCAGCCACCUGCCAGCUCAAUGCAACCUGGUGAUGGACCCAAGCAAAUACCAGCAGAAGAAUCACCUGGUCAACCCACAGAAUCAUGAGAAAUACUAAUUUGUUGUUGUCUUAAGCCAGUAAGUUUUGAGAGAGUGUUUUAACUGUUUCACCUAAGUUUGGUCUCUUAACAUGAACAUAAGCACUUUUUUGCAUUUGUACAUCCUUUGUACUCUUCCUGUUCAUACCGAGAAAGCUUUUGCAAUGCAAAAGCUCAAAUGUAUUGGAAUUUUAGAAGUUUAAGCCUUGAAGGACUCUGUACAAAACCAUGCCAAAAACCAUAUAUUUUGAAGAAUAUGUUCUCAGUCUGAGCCAGUUUUCUAUUUCCACCUCAAAUCUUGAUUGGUGCAGACUGGAGAAAGGAGAAGAGAGUCAGGGGUAAGACCGUGGGUCGGAGGUGGAUAUCGACAAUGUACCUGAGUAAAAGCCCUGUAGCCUCUCACCAUGUUGGAAUACCAUAUGGCACAACUACAUGGACCGCCAUUUACAUAGAGUAGGAUGUUUAGUACUGCGUCUUGACCUUUGAAACCAGACUGGUGAGAGGACUCACCAACAAAAGUGAAGCUAGGGUCAUAGGCCCUACCUUGGAGAUUGGUAAGACCCCAGAGUUAUUCCUUGCCCAAUGUUAAGUAAGAACAGAAAACAUUUCUAAAGAGGGUCCUGAGGCAGACAGGUCUUAAGCAGUCCCACAGCCCUCAUGUGCCCUAGAAAGAUGCAGAGCGCCCAGAAGCGGUUUUUCAGUGCAGGUGAGAAUGGUUUAGAUCCACAUGUUUUUGUAAAUUAGUUUUUAUUGGAAGAGAGGCAAACCCAUACAUUUACCUGUUGUCUAUGGCUGCUUUGACACUACAAUAGCAGAGUUGGGUAGUUGUGACAGAGAUCAUAUGGUACACAAAGCCUAAAACAUUUACUAUCUGGUCCUUUAUUUUUAAAAAGUCCUUAUAUUAGAUGAAACACAAAGAACUGGUAAAACUUAAGCCUUGUGUAAUAAUACAAAACAAAAAUAUACCAUGUAGACCAUAAUCAAAGGGCCCAUUGUCUUCAGCCGCUGACAUUGGGACCAGGGUGUAGUGUCAGAACAUGAAAGCCUGGAUACCUACAAUGGCCUAAUUUUCUCAUACAAAUGCAUCCUACCACUCCCAUCCCAUACCUUAUGCUAGAUAGGAUCCAUGGAAUUAGCUGCAUCUCCAGUGAAACAGGAAAAGUCCCUGAUUUUACUGAGAUUUAGCUAUUGUCACAUGGUGUAACAGGGAUUUAAGAGAAAAAAUAACCUCAGGUAUAGACAUAGGAAAAUAAUGUUAGAUUAAGUUUCUUAUACACCUGGUUCUGUCUUCAGAAACUGGCACCCACUAUAAAGCCUUCCAUAGUGAUAAUUAUCGCACAAAAUCGAUACAAAGGAAAUACCUGCUGAAUGUUCUGCCUCAGUAGGUUUUCCUUUGGUCUUUUACCUUAGAAAACUGCAUGAUAGCAUUUUUCUAUUAUUUUGACAUUUCAUGUAGGAAGCAUGUUAUUCACAACUUAUGUUUUAUAAAAUCUUUUUCUGAUGAUGAUGAUGAUGACACUUGUUAAUUUCCAUCUCCUUCCUUCACUGUAAGUUUUUCUAUUCCCUGAGACAACUAUUUCUCUCACUUGUCCUAAACCCCAAGGAUACAAGAGAUGCAUAGGAAAAUAUCUAUGAAGUGUGUGGGAGGAGACAACAGGGCAGGGUUCCAGAGGUCUGUGGUUUAUUGCACGUAAAACACUGGAAAGUGCUUUGGAUGAUAAGGAAGUAGCUUGUUGUCCUUUGCAAUGGCCUGACAUUCUUACACUGAGAAAAUCUUACUCCCCACUUUGAGCUGGGAUGUGGGAGCUGGGAGGACAUUUACUGAGUAUUAACUCUGUGCCAGGAAUUAUUCCUACAUUAUCUCAUUUAGUCUCCGGAAAACCCUACGUAACAGGUGAGAAGACCUCAGUGACAAGCUCAAAGAUGCAUAGCUAAAGAGCUGAAAUGUAAAAGCAGGUCUGCCAGACUCAAAAACCCAUGCUCUAUAAACUACAUCAUAGAAGUUGUAAAAUAAUUUUACCUUGAAUCCAAGGGUGAAUAAUUUGUCAUGGUUAGCUUGCCCUUUGGCAUUCAUAAACAAUUUCUACUGUCCCAGUUUUUGUUCCAUUCAUAUAGGAGUAACAUGUGGAAGUAUUAAGCAAUAGAAG